UCCAUUCCUCCCUGCCGCCAUUACCUCCACCCGGUCUCCCUCUCCCUCGGGAUCUUCCCAGAUCUACCUCAUAGCCAGCCGACCAGCCUCCUUCCUCCUAGGAUCAGCCGCAGCCGCCACCCAUCAAAUCCAUCCACCCAUUUGCCAGAUCCACCUCGUUUUGCCCAUCCACCCAACUAGCAGCCUCCACCUCUCCUCCUGAUUCUCCUCCAUCGAUCCAACCAGUGAGGCUGCCGGUAGCAGCAGCUGCACCCUCGCGCUCCCAUUCAUCCUCCUCCGGACCUCCCUUGACGCCGAGCACUAGCAGGAACUGCUCGUCGAGCCCCUUGUUUUCCUUUCUCUUCCUUCCCCUGUUUCUGCUCUUCUCUGAGCGUGUUUUCUCCCUCUCUCUCAUGCACAUGAGACCUUUAGGAGCCAGGGAAGCCAUGGCCUGACCUCGACCCCACCGCUGCCGCCUCUCACCCGCGCAACCUCGUCGCAAAACGGAGCCCCGGCGACCCUCCGAUGAGCCACCGCCCGGAUCCACCCGGUGCCAUCUUCUUUUCCUUCCGGAGCUCCUCCCGUAUGUCUCAUCCCUCUCCUUUGUUCUCUGUAACAGCUCCAUGGCCGCCGGAUGCUCAAGCGGCCACCGGGAACCGCUCCUUCGCCAUGCGUACCUCGCCACCAACCGAAGCUCCGACGGGCUCUUGCUGGACCUUGACCAGGACCUCGCCGUCGAUGCCCCAUUCUUCUCUUCUCUCAUCCCGCUUGCCUUUCAGUGAGCUUCUCUGACCCUGCUGCGACGCCGUUUACAGGUCGACAUCGCCGCCUUGGAUCUGCCCCAACCUUCGCCAUUCCCGCAGCAGACCCGGGACCCAUGGACCCGCAUCUCCACUGGCCACUUCGACGGAGUCCCCAUUGCCGGCCCCUGCUUCCACUGCAUCGGGAAGCUGCAGUUCGGGCAGAGAACGACGCCUCUGUCUCGAGUCAUUCGGUCGCUCGCCUGCGCCUGAACCACGCCCCCCUUCGCCCGUUCAUGGGCCUAGCAGCCCCGCUUCAGCCUAGCUCCUCUUCCGCCCGAGCUGCCCGGCCUCUCCACCGACCUAGGCUUGGCCCAUGAGAACUAAAUAAUCGACGUCAAUAUGCAACUUGAUGCGGAGCAUCCCAGGGCCAUCCCCAUGGACCCAAGUAAAUCUCCUUCAACACCUCUUGGACCCAUGACACAAGCAUGUGCAAGAGCUCUUGAAACCGAGGUGACAUCUCUCCUCUCACAUUUCCACUUUGAUGCACACGAGACAUGGCUACUACCUCAUACGGAUACUUUGUGCAUGCUCAGGUACCAUGGAGAAGCUAAGGAGCAAGGAGAAGAAGAAGAGGAAGAUGGACGUGAAGACGAAGACGAAGAAGAAGAAUCACUCCAAGUUCCCAGGCUCCGGACGACCGACGGACACCGGACGUCCAACGACCUCCAGGCCCCGGACAUCCGGCCCCCUCCGGACGACCGAUGCUCCCACACCCGAGACGAAACCUACGGAUUUCCAGAGCCCCUCGGACGAACGAUGACGCCUGGACGUUCGACCCCGACCGGACGUCCGACCGAAAACCACCCGAGCCGAAACUAUGGACGUCCGAUAGGCACCAGAUGUCCGGACCCUCGCGAGCCUCCGGACGACCGGUGACCCCCGGACAUCCGACGCAUGUGUGCUGAUUCGUGUUGGGCGGCAGCCCAUGUACCCCUUCACCCCCUCUUUUGCAUUAAGACUAUAUAUACUCCACCUAUUCCUUCUUUCUAGGGUUAGCAAAGGAUUAGCUCAUA